rnacentral:lncRNA from 1 species
CGCUGGGACCCUGCACACUUAAUUCUCCAGACUGAUGGCACAGAAAAGCUUCCAGAUUAGUCUCUUUGCUGGGUCCCUGGGAGACUACAAUCUUUUGUCUGCAGUACAAUGACUGCUGGGGUUGUCUGAUAGUCAAGGCCUGCUGCAAACUUGGAAAAGCACCCUUUCUUGGGAAAGAAGAGCCCACAGUGUGGACAUUCUCCUACCUGGUGACAAGCUGUGACUGUAGGAAAUUUGAGGAUGGUUUCAAAGAUAUGGGAUGAAGGAUGACUUUUGCUAAUACUGCACCAGAGCACACAAUCACACCAAGAAGUCUAUAAUCACUGUAAGAGAACAGGUUAACAAGGACUUUUAGGAAGCUUGAAGUCACAGACUGUGAUGGAGACCUACGUGUUCAAUCUAUUAAGAGCUUCUAACUAGCUGGCUUGUGUGGAAGAUCCAGUAAAGGAGUCUAGGGAUGAUUCUGGGGGAAGAGUGGAGCUUCAAGGUGAAGGAAGAACAACAUUAUGAGCAGAGAGAGACAGGGCACCAGUGAUGUAAGUUCUCAAGCCUUUCAAGAGCUCAAGGAUUACAGAAGAGACAGUCAAGUAAAGAAACAGAACAACAGUGGAGUAUAAUAAUGGCAGUGGAGUAUAAUGAAU